rnacentral:rRNA from 1 species
CCUACGGGUGGCAGCAGUGGGGAAUAUUGCACAAUGGGGGAAACCCUGAUGCAGCGACGCCGCGUGAGUGAAGAAGUAUUUCGGUAUGUAAAGCUCUAUCAGCAGGGAAGAAGCAAGACGGUACCUGACUAUGAAGCCCCGGCUAACUACGUACAAGCAGCCGCGGUAAUACGGAGGAUGCGAGCGUUAUCCGGAUUUAUUGGGUUUAAGGGGUUCGCAGGCGGCCUGUUAAGUCAGCGGUAAAAGCCCGGGGGUCAACCCCGGCGAGCCGUUGAAACUGGCGGGCUGGAGUGGGAGAGAGGUACGCGGAAUGCGCGGUGUAGCGGUGAAAUGCGUAGAUAUCGCGCAGAACCCCGAUUGCGAAGGCAGCGUACCGGCUCCACACUGACGCUGAGGCACGAAAGCGUGGGUAUCGAACAGGAUUAGAUACCCUUGUAGUC